rnacentral:rRNA from 1 species
AGAGUUUGAUCCUGGCUCAGGACGAACGCUGGCGGCGUGCCUAAUACAUGCAAGUCGAGCGGACUUUUAAAAGCUUGCUUUUAAAAGUUAGCGGCGGACGGGUGAGUAACACGUGGGUAACCUGCCUGUAAGACUGGGAUAACUCCGGGAAACCGGGGCUAAUACCGGAUAACUUCUUUCCUCGCAUGAGGAAAGAUUGAAAGAUGGCUUCGGCUAUCACUUACAGAUGGACCCGCGGCGCAUUAGCUAGUUGGUGAGGUAACGGCUCACCAAGGCGACGAUGCGUAGCCGACCUGAGAGGGUGAUCGGCCACACUGGGACUGAGACACGGCCCAGACUCCUACGGGAGGCAGCAGUAGGGAAUCUUCCGCAAUGGACGAAAGUCUGACGGAGCAACGCCGCGUGAGUGAUGAAGGUUUUCGGAUCGUAAAACUCUGUUGUUAGGGAAGAACAAGUAUCGUUCGAAUAGGGCGGUACCUGACGGUA